rnacentral:rRNA from 1 species
GACGAACGCUGGCGGCGUGCUUAACACAUGCAAGUCGAACGAAGUGGCGAACGGGUGAGUAAUAUGUGGGUAACCUGCCCUCCUUUUUGGGAUAAGCCUUGGAAACGGGGUCUAAUACCGUAUAAUGGGGGAUGGGCUCGCGGCUUAUCGGCUUGUUGGUGGGGUGAUGGCCUACCAAGGCGGUGACGGGUAACCGGCCUGAGAGGGUGACGGGCCACAUUGGGACUGAGAUACGGUCCAGGAUCCUACGGGAGGCAGGAGUGGGGAAUAUUGGACAAUGGGAGAAAGGCUGGUCCAGCCAUGCCGGGUGUGUGAAGAAAGUCUUCGGAUUGUAAAGCACUUUAAGUUAGGGGGCGUUACCAACAGAAUAAGCACCGGCUAAAUUCGUGCCAACAGCCGCGGUAAUUC